rnacentral:rRNA from 1 species
UACGGGGGGGGCAAGCGUUGUUCGGAAUUACUGGGCGUAAAGGGCUCGUAGGCGGCCAACUAAGUCGGAUGUGAAAUCCCCAGGCUUAACCUGGGAACUGCAUCCGAUACUGGAUGGCUUGAAUCCGGGAGAGGGAUGCAGAAUUCCAGGUGUAGCGGUGAAAUGCAUAGAUAUCUGGAGGAAUACCGGUGGCGAAGGCGGCAUCCUGGACCGGCAUUGACGCUGAUGAGCGAAAGCUAGGGGAGCAAACGGG